rnacentral:rRNA from 1 species
CUUGAACGCUGGCGGCGUGCUUAACACAUGCAAGUCGAGCGGUAACAGGCGUAGCAAUACGUGCUGACGAGCGGCGAACGGGUGAGUAAUGCUUCGGAAUCUUCCUUGUAGUGGGGAAUAACCUGGGGAAACUCAGGCUAAUGCCGCAUACGAACCAUGGUUGAAAGCGGGGGAUCGCAAGACCUCGCGCUAUAAGAUGAGCCGAAGUCGGAUUAGCUAGUUGGUGGGGUAAAGGCCUACCAAGGCGACGAUCCGUAGCUGGUCUGAGAGGACGACCAGCCACACUGGGACUGAGACACGGCCCAGACUCCUACGGGAGGCAGCAGUGGGGAAUAUUGGACAAUGGGGGCAACCCUGAUCCAGCGACGCCGCGUGUGUGAAGAAGGCCUGCGGGUUGUAAAGCACUUUUAGUGGGGACAAAAAGCCGAGGGCUAAUACCUUUCGGUCUUGAUUUAACCCAAAGAAAAAGCACCGGCUAACUCUGUGCCAGCAGCCGCAGUAACAC